rfam:Salmo salar isolate Sally breed double haploid chromosome ssa18, whole genome shotgun sequence.
UGCACACACUACUGAAAGUCGCUCUAGAUAAGAGCAUCUGCUAAAUGGCCUAAA